CAUGGUAUCUUCUCUGUCGUGUGUAAUUGAUUUCAGAUGUUCUACCAGAGAGCACUUACCCUGGUCUUGAAGUCAAGCUAGCAUAUAAAAUGUCAGCAUGUUAGAUAGUCAUGCAACCUCUCUUUUUUUUAUGUUUUAGUGUAUUUAAUUAAUAUAUUUUAUACUUGUUUGUUUCCCAAUUUCUAUUAAAGUUAAAUGUCACGUGUUUGCAUUGCAAAACAAAAACAGCAACAAAAAGAAAAACAACGUUGCAUUGGCCGGGAAUCGAACCCGGGCCUCCCGCGCGCGGGAGCCGAAAAUGGUUAAGCUUAACUUCCCUUAACUUUUCCCAUUCAUUCUCUAUGGUAGUGCUUAACACUACGGAUGCAAUCUACUUUUGGCCACACGUAGACUUCCCGGCGCUGUUUCGCUUUUCCGUGGCGGGGAAUUUAAAAAGCGAAGCGUCAUCUGUCAACCCGUUUUAUUACCGGAGAGAUAUUUGUUUACCGACUUGUCAGCAAACUUGUUUCGUUUUGUCUAAACUACCUGCAGACAGACUUUAACUCAGUAAUGGAGGAGGAAGAAGAACUGGAAAGUUUUUCUCCAACAAAAUAUCUCACACAGCUGAGUAAGUAAAUCAAGUAUCUUGUCAUGUGUGUUAUAUAUACCCAUGUCAAAUUCUUAUAAAAUUGGAAUAAAAAUUGAACAUACUGGAGAGAAACCAUUCAAAUUAUAAUGCGUAAUUUUUAGGCUCAUCUGCAGCCACAGGAUCCACAGUCUUAUUUACAACAGGUUACUUUACACAUCCAUUUUUGAGGCUUAUUCAAUUACAUACUUAUCCUCCAUGUUCUUUUGUUCUAACUACUGUUAAGGUUUGAAUAUACCAGUGGUGAAGGUGGGUGCACUUCAUGAAUUGUAUGCAUGCUAAACUGUUAUUUGUUGUGAAAAAAUUGACUAUUUACUUACAAGCAUUUGAACAUUAUCAGAAUGUGCAUUACUAGAACAAAUAACAGAAUAAAUAGAAUAAAAGAAUAAAUAAUGAUUAGUCAUUUAAUGUAGUCAAGACAAUCAAAUACAUAUGUACAUUCAGUUUUUAAUUUCCUCCCUGUGCUUUUCCUUGCAGCUCCUCCAACAACAUCGGCUUUGCACCAUCUCACGCAGCACAAUCAGCCUCUACACCUGCACCAAUGCUGUCUGCACUCACUGAAACCCCUGUUCCCAGCUACUUGAACACAAAACCAUAUUAUUAUUGCUGUUAUUUAAUCUAUAAUUUUAAAUUGUUAAAUUUCUUUCCAUUGUCCAUUAAAAUCAAACAGUUUAGUCCUUGUUUGCAUUGCAAUUUGGUGUGUUUUUAAAGUUAAUUUUAUUGACUUGCAUUAUUUUAUCUUGGUCAGAUGUGUAAACUUAAUAACUGUUAAUUAAACAUUGUACAUAAUUAUUUGUUAUUUUUUUAAAUCUUGUUUUUUCCCCAGCUUUAUGUUGUUAUUAUUAUUGUUAUUAUUCAUGUUAUUGUUUUUUAAUCUAUAAGUAUUUAAUACAGUACCUUUUUCAGUUUUACAUAAUAAUAUGUAUAUUAUUGUAUUAUA